GACGAACGCUGGCGGCGUGCUUAACACAUGCAAGUCGAACGGAAAGGCCCUGCUUUUGUGGGGUGCUCGAGUGGCGAACGGGUGAGUAACACGUGAGUAACCUGCCCUUGACUUUGGGAUAUCUUCAGGAAACUGGGGCUAAUACCGGAUAGGAGCUCCUGCUGCAUGGUGGGGGUUGGAAAGUUUCGGCGGUUGGGGAUGGACUCGCGGCUUAUCAGCUUGUUGGUGGGGUAGUGGCUUACCAAGGCUUUGACGGGUAGCCGGCCUGAGAGGGUGACCGGCCACAUUGGGACUGAGAUACGGCCCAGACUCCUACGGGAGGCAGCAGUGGGGAAUAUUGCACAAUGGGCGGAAGCCUGAUGCAGCAACGCCGCGUGCGGGAUGACGGCCUUCGGGCUGUAAACCGCUUUCGCCUGUGACGAAGCGUGAGUGACGGUAAUGGGUAAAGAAGCACCGGCUAACUACGUG
rnacentral:rRNA from 1 species